rnacentral:rRNA from 1 species
AGCAGCCGCGGUAAUUCCAGCUCCAAUAGCGUAUAUUAAAGUUGCUGCGGUUAAAAAGCUCGUAGUUGAAUUUCGGGACCAUCAUGUUGGUCGUGCCUCGGUACGUACUGGCAUUGUUGGUUUCUCCCUUCUGACGAACCAUGAUGUCAUUUAUUUGGUGUCGUGGGAAAUCAGGACUGUUACUUUGAAAAAUUAGAGUGUUUAAAGCAGGCUCACGCUUGAAUACAUUAGCAUGGAAUAAUGAAAUAGGACGUUUGAUUCUAUUUUGUUGGUUUCUAGGAUCGACGUAAUGAUUAAUAGGGAUAGUUGGGGGCAUUAGUAUUCAAUCGUCAGAGGUGAAAUUCUUGGAUUUAUUGAAGACUAACUACUGCGAAAGCAUUUGCCAAGGAUGUUUUCAUUAAUCAAGAACGAAAGUUAGGGGAUCGAAGACGAUCAGAUACCGUCGUAGUC